rnacentral:snRNA from 2 species
AUUUUUGCACUUGGGGCAAUGACGCAGCUAGUGAGGUUCUAACCGAGGAACAUCUAUUGCUAGUUGAAAACUAUUUCCAAACUCCCUUUUAGGUAGACUUGUUAAUAUGGGCCGACCUAGCUUAGUCUUGCCCAAGCCCUUGUGGGU